rnacentral:lncRNA from 1 species
GCCGUUGCGGAGCGUGACGGUGUUAGGCGGUCACUCGAGUGAUGCCUCUGGUGCCAUGCAUGGGGCUGACCCGAGCAAUAUACGGCUUGCAAGUAGAGGCUUCGGUGAUCGUUCGUUCUAAGAGAAGGAGCGAUGAAUUGUGACAGUCUUUGGCGACAGUCGUCGGAACGGUAAUAAUGACGACUUGAAGGUAAGCGCAGCAGCGGGUUGGCGUCAGCGCGUUUUGUGAUCUUUGUGUAAGGCAGAGAGGGCUGCGAGGAGAAUGGAGAAGAGGAAAGGUGAGAAGAGGAAUUCUUCAUCAUCAUGUGCGUACAUUUCAAUUGCAGUUUUUCCGUUCUGUAAACGUCUGUAUGGUUGCAGCCUUUCGCCUUCGCAUCGCGGCGGAAGGCGCAGUGAGAUCGCCGGUUCGUAGUCGAAGCUGUACGGCAGAGAUGAACGAUUUGGAUGCCGUGCAUUUCAUGGGAAGCGCAUGCCGAGGUACUUAUUUUGCGCAUAAUUUCCGCUUCCAUAGAGAACCGCGGAGUGGUAAGAGGCUGAAGCUUUUUUAUGGUGUGCGAAGAUCGAUUACCAGAAGGAGUAAGGCGUUGAGAUGGCUAGUUCAUGCAUCCGUAGAGUACUGAAGUGGAGCGAUGAUUGCGGCAGCGUCGCGCGAAUUGUGGAUCACUACUAUUGUAGAGUAAUACUGACUGGAAAUGUCCAGAACCCUAGCGAUGCAGAGGGAGUUUACCGAACAGUGUGUGGUGAGAACACGAGGACCCUCAAAUGAAGGUCCGUUGCGAAGGGGUUGAGAAAGGAGUGACGGGAGGAGGAGCCGGUUGUUGCAUGAGAGCCACGUGCUUAUGCUGUGCACGCCUCGCAAUAUGUGGUGAGAGUCAAUUUUGACACAGCGAAAAGAUGCAAAUACACACAAAAAAAACAUCGUACACUCUGUCUGGCCCAACUUUCCUUUAAACUUCCAGUUUGCGUUUGGCACUCGGUGACGUGCUCGGUGCAAAAGAGUUCUGCGUAUGGCAACUAGAAAUUAUUAUAGACUCAAUUGUGCUUCGACGCGAUGUUUUAUCUACCAACAUCACGCCAUGUAAACCGUAGUGCUCAUCAGUAACCAGUUGCUGUUGUUGCGCACUUCCUAAAUGUCUUAUACCAAUCCGGUGCUGGUGGAUUAGUUGUUCGAAAGUACGUCGUACGCAUGUAACAAGCCUCGGUACUCGACCGUCAACAUGUCGCUAUUUCUGAGUUGUAUGUUUUGUUUGCAUAUCCUUCGUAGUUACGGUGGUGUAAAUAACCGA